rnacentral:rRNA from 1 species
GAUGAACGCUGGCGGCGUGCCUAACACAUGCAAGUCGAACGAAGCACCUUACCUGAUUCUUCGGAUGAAAGUUUGGUGACUGAGUGGCGGACGGGUGAGUAACGCGUGGGUAACCUGCCCUGUACAGGGGGAUAACAGCUGGAAACGGCUGCUAAUACCGCAUAAGCGCACGAGGAGACAUCUCCUUGUGUGAAAAACUCCGGUGGUACAGGAUGGGCCCGCGUCUGCUUAGCUGGUUGGCAGGGUAACGGCCUACCAAGGCAACGAUCAGUAGCCGGUCUGAGAGGAUGAGCGGCCACAUUGGAACUGAGACACGGUCCAAACUCCUACGGGAGGCAGCAGUGGGGAAUAGUGCACAAUGGGGGAAACCCUGAUGCAGCAACGCCGCGUGAGUGAAGAAGUAUUUCGGUAUGUAAAGCUCUAUCAGCAGGGAAGAUAAUGACGGUACCUGACUAAGAAGCUCCGGCUAAAUACGUG